rnacentral:rRNA from 1 species
AGAGUUUGAUCCUGGCUCAGGAUGAACGCUAGCUACAGGCUUAACACAUGCAAGUCGAGGGGCAGCAUGUUGGUUGCUUGCAACCAAUGAUGGCGACCGGCGCACGGGUGAGUAACGCGUAUCCAACCUACCCUUGUCCAUCGGAUAACCCGUCGAAAGGCGGCCUAACACGAUAUGCGGUUCUCAGCAGGCAUCUAACGAGAACGAAAUGUGAAGGAGAAGGAUGGGGAUGCGUCUGAUUAGCUUGUUGGCGGGGUAACGCCACAAGGCGACGAUCAGUAGGGGUUCUGGAGACGGAAGGUCCCCCAGAUUGGAACUGAGACACGGUCCAAACGUCCUACGGGAGCA